rnacentral:rRNA from 1 species
UACGGGGGGAGCAAGCGUUGUUCGGAUUUACUGGGCGUAAAGGGCGCGUAGGCGGCCACCGCAAGUCGACUGUGAAAUCUCCGGGCUUAACUCGGAAAGGUCAGCCGAUACUGCGGGGCUAGAGUGCAGAAGGGGCAACUGGAAUUCUCGGUGUAGCGGUGAAAUGCGUAGAUAUCGAGAGGAACACCUGCGGCGAAGGCGGGUUGCUGGGCUGACACUGACGCUGAGGCACGAAAGCCGGGGGAGCAAACAGG